UGGGGAAUAUUGCACAAUGGGCGCAAGCCUGAUGCAGCCAUGCCGCGUGUGUGAAGAAGGCCUUCGGGUUGUAAAGCACUUUCAGCGAGGAGGAAGGUGGUGAGCUUAAUACGCUCAUCAAUUGACGUUACUCGCAGAAGAAGCACCGGCUAACUCCGUGCCAGCAGCCGCGGUAAUACGGAGGGUGCAAGCGUUAAUCGGAAUUACUGGGCGUAAAGCGCACGCAGACGGUUUGUUAAGUCAGAUGUGAAAUCCCCGGGCUCAACCUGGGAACUGCAUUUGAAACUGGCAAGCUAGAGUCUCGUAGAGGGGGGUAGAAUUCCAGGUGUAGCGGUGAAAUGCGUAGAGAUCUGGAGGAAUACCGGUGGCGAAGGCGGCCCCCCUGGACGAAGACUGACGCUCAGGUGCGAAAGCGUGGGGCAGCAAACAGGAUUAGAUACCCUGGUAGUCCACGCUGUAAACGAUGUCGAUUUGGAGGUUGUGCCCCUUGAGGCGUGGNUUCCGGAGCUAACGNGUUAAAUCGACCGCCCUGGGGAGUACGGCCNCAAGGUUAAAACUUAAAUGAAUU
rnacentral:rRNA from 1 species